rnacentral:rRNA from 1 species
CUACCAGACUCCUACGGGAGGCAGCAGUGGGGAAUAUUGCACAAUGGGGGGAACCCUGAUGCAGCAAUGCCGCGUGGGUGAAGAAGCACUCCGGUGCGUAAAGCCCUGUCAGCAGGGAAGAAAAUGACAGUACCUGACCAAGAAGCCCCGGCUAACUAUGUGCCAGCAGCCGCGGUAAUACGUAGGGGGCAAGCGUUAUCCGGAUUUACUGGGUGUAAAGGGAGCGUAGACGGCGAAGAAAGUCUGAAGUGAAAGCCCGCGGCUCAACCGCGGAACUGCUUUGGAAACUUUUUUGCUGGAGUACCGGAGAGGUAAGCGGAAUUCCUAGUGUAGCGGUGAAAUGCGUAGAUAUUAGGAGGAACACCAGUGGCGAAGGCGGCUUACUGGACGGUAACUGACGUUGAGGCUCGAAAGCGUGGGGAGCAAACAGGAUUAGAUACCCGAGUAGUA